rnacentral:rRNA from 1 species
ACGGAUCUCUUGGUUCUGGCAUCGAUGAAGAACGCAGCGAAAUGCGAUAAGUAGUGUGAAUUGCAGAAUUCAGUGAAUCAUCGAAUCUUUGAACGCACAUUGCGCCCCUUGGUAUUCCAUGGGGCAUGCCUGUUCGAGCGUCAUUUGUACCCUCAAGC